rnacentral:rRNA from 1 species
AUUGAACGCUGGCGGCAGGCCUAACACAUGCAAGUCGAGCGGAUGAAGAGAGCUUGCUCUCUGAUUUAGCGGCGGACGGGUGAGUAAUGCCUAGGAAUCUGCCUGGUAGUGGGGGAUAACGUUCCGAAAGGAACGCUAAUACCGCAUACGUCCUACGGGAGAAAGCAGGGGACCUUCGGGCCUUGCGCUAUCAGAUGAGCCUAGGUCGGAUUAGCUAGUUGGUGAGGUAAUGGCUCACCAAGGCGACGAUCCGUAACUGGUCUGGGAGGAUGAUCAGUCACACUGGAACUGAGACACGGUCCAGACUCCUACGGGAGGCAGCAGUGGGGAAUAUUGGACAAUGGGCGAAAGCCUGAUCCAGCCAUGCCGCGUGUGUGAAGAAGGUCUUCGGAUUGUAAAGCACUUUAAGUUGGGAGGAAGGGCAGUAAGUUAAUACCUUGCUGUUUUGACGUUACCGACAGAAUAAGCACCGGCUAACUUCGUGCCAGCCGCCGCAGUAACAC